AUUUGAGCAGUAGCGGAGCGUUCUGUAGGCCGAUGAAGCCAUACCCGGGAGGGAUGGUGGAGGUAUCAGAAGUGAGAAUGCUGACAUGAGUAGCGACAAAGAGUGUGAGAGACACUCUCGCCGAAAGUCCAAGGGUUCCUGCUUAAAGCUAAUCUGAGCAGGGUAAGCCGACCCCUAAGGCGAGGCCGAAAGGCGUAGUCGAUGGGAACCAGGUUAAUAUUCCUGGGCCAGAUAGAAGUGACGGAUCUCGAGGGUAGUUCAUCCUUAUCGGAUUGAAUGGGCUGCUUAGAGGUUCCUGGAAAUAGCCCUCCAUGAGAUCGUACCCUAAACCGACACAGGUGGACUGGUAGAGUAUACCAAGGCG
rnacentral:rRNA from 1 species